GAUGAACGCUGGCGGCGUGCUUAACACAUGCAAGUCGAACGGUGAAGGCGGAGCUUGCUCUGCUGGAUCAGUGGCGAACGGGUGAGUAACACGUGAGCAAUCUGCCCCUGACUCUGGGAUAAGCGCUGGAAACGGCGUCUAAUACUGGAUACGAGCUGCGAAGGCAUCUUCAGCAGCUGGAAAGAACUUCGGUCAGGGAUGAGCUCGCGGCCUAUCAGCUUGUUGGUGAGGUAACGGCUCACCAAGGCGUCGACGGGUAGCCGGUCUGAGAGGGUGACCGGCCACACUGGGACUGAGACACGGCCCAGACUCCUACGGGAGGCAGCAGUGGGGAAUAUUGCACAAUGGGCGAAAGCCUGAUGCAGCAACGCCGCGUGAGGGACGACGGCCUUCGGGUUGUAAACCUCUUUUAGCAGGGAAGAAGCGAAAGUGACGGUACCUGCAGAAAAAGCGCCGGCUAACUACGUG
rnacentral:rRNA from 1 species